rfam:Amborella trichopoda AMTR_V1.0_contig_22233, whole genome shotgun sequence.
GAAGACAGGGUCAGUCAGGUUAGCCAAGGAGACCGCCUAGAAACCUCAUAAUGAGGGUCUUAAUUGGGGCCAUAGCACCCUAGAACCAUCCACAUUGUGGAUGUAGGCAAGUCAUCCUUGGCUAUCAAAAUAACACUGUCUC